rnacentral:misc_RNA from 1 species
GUAUUUAUAACUUUUCAUUUCAUUCUAAACACAUUCCAAGAGGUUGUGAAACAAAAGGACAUAGACCUGAGGGAAAGCCGGCUUCAAAUUCGAAGCACAGCAGUCCCCACUCGGAACGAAUUCCAGGGUCUACAAUGUGUGCACAGUUGGAGAGAUGAUAAAGAUGACAAGCGUGCACAUGUCCUGGGACCAGCAACAGCCUGUUCAAGUUUAUUCGAUAAUGAUCCUUCCGCAGGUUCACCUACGGAAA